rnacentral:rRNA from 1 species
CACAUGCAGUCGAGCGGCAGCGACUUAACUGAACCUUCGGGGAACGUUAAGGGCGGCGAGCGGCGGACGGGUGAGUAAUGCCUGGGAAUAUGCCCUGAUGUGGGGGAUAACUAUUGGAAACGAUAGCUAAUACCGCAUAAUCUCUUCGGAGCAAAGAGGGGGACCUUCGGGCCUCUCGCGUCAGGAUUAGCCCAGGUGGGAUUAGCUUGUUGGUGAGGUAAUGGCUCACCAAGGCAACGAUCCCUAGCUGGUCUGAGAGGAUGAUCAGCCACACUGGAACUGAGACACGGUCCAGACUCCUACGGGAGGCAGCAGUGGGGAAUAUUGCACAAUGGGGGAAACCCUGAUGCAGCCAUGCCGCGUGUAUGAAGAAGGCCUUCGGGUUGUAAAGUACUUUCAGUAGGGAGGAAGGCAGUGUCGUUAAUAGCGGCAUUGUUUGACGUUACCUACAGAAGAAGCACCGGCUAACUCCGUGCCAGCAGCCGCGGUAAUACGGAGGGUGCGAGCGUUAAUCGGAAUUACUGGGCGUAAAGCGCAUGCAGGCGGUCUGUUAAGCAAGAUGUGAAAGCCCGGGGCUCAACCUCGGAACAGCAUUUUGAACUGGCAGACUAGAGUCUUGUAGAGGGGGGUAGAAUUUCAGGUGUAGCGGUGAAAUGCGUAGAGAUCUGAAGGAAUACCGGUGGCGAAGGCGGCCCCCUGGACAAAGACUGACGCU